rnacentral:rRNA from 1 species
UACGUAUGGUCCUAGCGUUGUCCGGAAUGACUGGGCGUAAAGGGUGUGUAGGCGGAUGUAUAUGUCAGAUGUGAAAUACCUCGGCUUAACUGAGGCAUUGCGUUUGAAACUGUACAUCUUGAGCAUGUCAGGGGUAAGCGGAAUUCCCGGAGUAGCGGUGAAAUGCGUAGAUAUCGGGAAGAACACCGGUGGCGAAGGCGGCUUACUGGGGCAUAGCUGACGCUGAGGCACGAAAGCGUGGGGAG